CAUUCUUUGUGUGGUACUCUACUCCAGAGAGUGGCAAUCAUGUGUAAUUAGAUGUGAUUGACACCUCUAUGAGUGGAGUAACAUAUGACACAUGC
ensembl:miRNA